UACAGAGGGUGCAAGCGUUGUUCGGAAUUAUUGGGCGUAAAGGGUGCGUAGGCGGUGCGGUAAGUCUGUAGUGAAAUCUCUGGGCUCAACUCAGAGUCUGCUAUAGAAACUGCCGUGCUUGAGUGUGGGAGAGGUGAGUGGAAUUCCCGGUGUAGCGGUGAAAUGCGUAGAUAUCUGGAAGAACACCAAAGGCGAAGGCAGUGUCCUGGGUGGUCGCUGACGCUGAGAGGCGAAAGCCAGGGGAGCGAACGGG
rnacentral:rRNA from 1 species